rnacentral:rRNA from 1 species
AUUGAACGCUAGCGGGAUGCCUUACACAUGCAAGUCGAACGGAGUGGCGAACGGGUGAGUAAUGUAUCGGAACGUGCCCAUUACCGGGGGAUAACUACGCGAACGCGUAGCUAAUACCGCCUCCUCUUGGAGCGGCCGAUAUCGGAUUAGCUAGUUGGUGGGGUAAAGGCUCACCAAGGCGACGAUCCGUAGCUGGUUUGAGAGGAUGACCAGCCACACUGGGACUGAGACACGGCCCAGACUCCUACGGGAGGCAGCAGUGGGGAAUUUUGGGCAAUGGGGGAAACCCUGAUCCAGCCAUGCCGCGUGUGCGAUGAAGGCCUUCGGGUUGUAAAGCACUUUUGGCAGGAAAGCGGUACCUGCAGAAUAAGCACCGGCUAACUACGUGCCAGCAGCCGCGGUAAUAC